rnacentral:rRNA from 1 species
CUACGGGGUGCUGCAGUUAGGAAUAAUCUACAAUGCGCGCAAGCGUGAUAGUUUGAGUCAGAGUGCGUUUCAAUUUGGAAUGCUUUUGUGUACUCUAAAAAGGUACACGAAUAGGGACUGGGUAAGACGAGUGCCAGCCGCCGCGGUAAUACUCGCAGGUCCAAGUCGCAGCCAUUUUUAUUGGGUCUAAAACAUCCGUAGCUUGCUUCUUAAGUUCCCUGUGAAAUUUCAUAUCUCAAAUAUGGAGCGGGCAGGGAGUACUGGGAAGCUAGAGACUGGAAGACGGAACGAGUACGUUUAAAGUAGCGGUAAAAUGUGUUAAUCUUAAACGGACUAACAAUAGCGAAGGCACGUUUCGAGGACAGUUCUGACAGUAAGGGAUGAAGGCUAGGGGCGCAAAACGGAUUAGAUACCCCAGUAGUC